ACCGAAAUAGCUCAGUUGGGAGAGCGUUAGACUAUAGAUCGAUAAGUCCCUGGUUCGAUACCGGGUUCCGGCA
rnacentral:tRNA from 1 species